rnacentral:rRNA from 1 species
AGCGAAUGUUUGCGGCGGGCCUAACACAUGCAAGUCGAACGCACUAGCAAUAGUGAGUGGCGCACGGGUGCGUAACACGUGGGUAAUCAACCCUUCAGCUUGGGAUAACGACUUGAAAGGGUCGCUAAUACCGGAUACGGCGCGAGAGGCUUCGGCUUCUCACGAGAAAGCCUCGCAAGGGGCACUGAAGGACGAGCCUG